UGGGUGCCUGCAUUUGCUUUACAUUAGUGUCCCAGAUCCGGGAAAUGUUUUAGCAUAUGCUUAACUUUAAGCAUGAGGUUAUUUGGGUGUGGAAGAGGAAUGCAAAUGUGCAGGCUGGUGAAGCAGACAGAUGAUGGAACUGAAGCUGGCAGCUGACAAAGCGCGACUGAAGGACCACAAGAGACUGUGAUCUGCUCUGCACACAACAGUGGCCAUCAAGGACCUCAUUUCUAGGAUAUAUUGGUGCCAGGUGGGAAAAGAGUGGGAGAUCGAGUCCUUGCAACAACCUUUGCAACUGGAUCUUUACAGCAAGCAAGGGAGACAGCGAAAAAUAGUCAACAUUAUUUUGGCACAGUGGGGAAGAAGGGAUGAAAGCUCUGCAAAUGAAUUCAUUGUGACAACCUUUGUGAAGAAUCUGCGUGCUUGAUCUUUUAAAAGAUUUAAUAAUUCUUUUGAUA
rnacentral:lncRNA from 1 species